AACGCGAAGAACCUUACCUAGACUUGACAUCCCCGGCAAAGACAUGGAAACAUGUUGGAGGUUACCCGGGAGACAGGUGGUGCAUGGUUGUCGUCAGCUCGUGUCGUGAGAUGUUCGGUUAAGUCCGCUAACGAGCGCAACCCUUAUCCUUAGUUGCUAACAUUAAGUUGAGAACCCUAAGGAGACUGCCGGUGAUAAGCCGGAGGAAGGUGGGGAUGACGUCAAAUCAUCAUGCCCCUUACGUCUAGGGCUACAGGCGUGCUAUAAUGGCCAAUAUAAAGAGAAGCAAUACCGUGAGGUGGAGCAAAACUCCAAAGUUGGUCUCAGUUCGGAUUGAAGUCUGCAACUCGACUUCAUGAAGUUAGAAUCGCUAGUAAUCCUGAAUCAGAAUGUCAGGGUGAAUACGUUCCCGGGUCUUGUACACACGC
rnacentral:rRNA from 1 species